UACGUAGGGCGCAAGCGUUGUCCGGAAUUAUUGGGCGUAAAGAGCUCGUAGGCGGUUUGUCGCGUCUGCUGUGAAAACCUAAGGCUCAACCUUGGGCUUGCAGUGGGUACGGGCAGACUAGAGUGCGGUAGGGGUGACUGGAAUUCCUGGUGUAGCGGUGGAAUGCGCAGAUAUCGCUUGGAACGCCAAAGGUGAAAACGAGGUUGCUGGGGUUGUGCCGACGCUGAGACACGAAAGCCAGGGGAGCAAACGGG
rnacentral:rRNA from 1 species